AUUACGUAAAACGACUCUCGGCAACGGAUAUCUCGGCUCUUGCAUCGAUGAAGAACGUAGCGAAAUGCGAUACUUGGUGUGAAUUGCAGAAUCCCGUGAACCAUCGAGUCUUUGAACGCAAGUUGCGCCCAAAGCCAUUAGGUUGAGGGCACGCCUGCCUGGGUGUCACAC
rnacentral:rRNA from 1 species